UGCGUGUGUGUGCACGUGUGUGUGUGUGUGCGCGCGCACACACACACACACACACACACGUACG
rnacentral:miRNA from 1 species